UGCAAAGGGAUCAACGUUGUUAUUUUCCCCACAGAAUACCCCUUUCGCCCAUGACAGUUCUCACUCCUUUGUCCCACAUCAGUUGCUUGUCUUCUAUUUUGUUUCAUGCAGAAUGUAUGCAGGAUGACAGGAACCAAAUAUGAAGGGGAUGGACUUUCCAGGACUGCAGAAGGACUGUGAACCUGGAUUUGUUUGCACAAUGUCCAGUCCUCAACCAGUUUUGACUCAGGAGCCUUCCGUGUCAGCCUCCCUCGGGCAGACUGUGAAACUCUCCUGUUCCAUGAGCAGUGGACAAGUGGAGAGCUAUGCACAGUCCUGGUACCAGCAAACACCUGGACAUCCUCCGAGGUUCAUUUACUUCUACUCUAGCAGUGGAAUCCCUGGCUCUGGAGACCUCAGCCGGUUUUCUGCUUCCAAGGAGAGCUCUCGAAAUACUUGGUAUUUAACCAUCAGCAAUGUCCAGGCUGAAGAUGAGACUCAUUAUUACUGUGCUGUGUGGUAUUACCAUAGUGCCAUGUUCCACAGUGGUUCAGAUCUAAGAGGAACUGAAAUAAAAACAUACCAUUCACAUCUAACCAGACAUUUUCAAUUCCCUCUUUAUAACAACACCAUCUGUGGAACUGGAAGAAGGACUGUGCUGGUCACAUGCAUUGAAAUGUAUGUUUAACUGCUACCAUUCUCCUCUAUAUGAGCAACAUAAAGGAAGCUCAAUGCAUACCAUAUUUUUCCAUAUAUAAGACACCCCCAUGUAUAAGACAA